rnacentral:rRNA from 1 species
CUACGCACUCCUACGGGAGGCAGCAGUGGGGAAUAUUGCACAAUGGGCGCAAGCCUGAUGCAGCCAUGCCGCGUGUAUGAAGAAGGCCUUCGGGUUGUAAAGUACUUUCAGCAGUGAGGAAGGUGGAUAUGUUAAUAGCAUAUUCAUUUGACGUUUAGCUGCAGAAGAAGCACCGGCUAACUCCGUGCCAGCAGCCGCGGUAAUACGGAGGGUGCGAGCGUUAAUCGGAAUUACUGGGCGUAAAGCGCAUGCAGGUGGUUUGUUAAGUCAGAUGUGAAAGCCCGGGGCUCAACCUCGGAAUUUGCAUUUGAAAACUGGCAAACUAGAGUACUGUAGAGGGGGUUAGAAUUUCAGGUGUAGCGGUGAAAUGCGUAGAGAUCUGAAGGAAUACCGGUGGCGAAGGCGGCCCCCUGGACAGAUACUGACACUCAGAUGCGAAAGCGUGGGGAGCAAACAGGAUUAGACUACCCUGGUAG